AAGUCGUAACAAGGUUUCCGUAGGUGAACCUGCGGAGGGAUCAUUACAUAAUAACCAGGCGGGCUGGACACCCCCCGCUGGGCACUGCUUCACGGCGUGCGCGGCGGGGCCGGCCCUGCUGAAUUAUUCACCCGUGUCUUUUGCGUACUUCUUGUUUCCUGGGUGGGCUCGCCCGCCCUCAGGACCAACCACAAACCUUUUGCAAUAGCAAUCAGCGUCAGUAACAACGUAAUUAAUUACAACUUUCAACAACGGAUCUCUUGGUUCUG
rnacentral:misc_RNA from 1 species